CAUCUUUUUAUAGCUCCUAGAAUGAGCAAAUCAGCUGUGCAUCAUCUCUGGGAUUUGGGCAGAAAAUGACUGAAUAUGGAAGAUGAAGCCAGUUGAUGAAGAUAUCAAUUCAAUGGCCACCAAGUACUGCACUGCUGCCUGAACCCAUCAGGAAUCUGCUGUGAAGACUGCGUUCACAAACAGCUCUACUGUGACAGCGCAGAUGUUACAGCCCAUAAAAGUAAAUUUCACAACUGAACAACUGCAAGAUAGUUGUGGAGGGAUUCUUUUGGCCCAUACCUCCAACAAACUCCAGUAAGAAUCAAUGGACAUCUACACCAGGUGGUGUGUGAGGAGGACCGUCAGAGACUCCACCCACCCGAGCCAUGGACUGCUCUCACCAUUACAGAACCUGCACCAGCAGACAGCGAGACAAGUUAUUUCCACAGGCAAUCAGACUGAACUGAACUCGUACCAGUAACACCACACAGCACACCCCACCAACCUCAUAUGCACUAUCAGUUACGCUGACUGGACUCCCUAUUAUUCUGCACCCUGACAUUCUGUUUGCACUAAUUCAUACCGUGCUGCACUGCAAAGGUAUAUGUGUACUGUGAUUAUUAUUGUUUUCAUUUCAUGAGCUGUAUAGCAUAACAUUUACAAUAUAUUGUUCUCUACCUGCAUUGAGUCCC